GUAGUCAUAUGCUUGUCUCAAAGAUUAAGCCAUGCAUGUCUAAGUAUAAAUAACUUUAUAUUGUGAAACUGCGAAUGGCUCAUUAAAUCAGUUAUGAUCUACGUGACAAAUUCUUUACUACUUGGACAACCGUGGUAAUUCUAGAGCUAAUACAUGCAAAAAAGCCCUGACUUACGAAGGGGUGCACUUAUUAGAUAAAACCAACGCGGGGUAAAACCUGUUUCUUGGUGAGUCAUAAUAAUUAAGCGGAUCGCAUGCCUUGUGCCGGCGACGGUCCACUCGAUUUUCUGCCCUAUCAUGGUUGAGAUUGUAAGAUAGAAGCUUACAAUGCCUACAACGGGUAACGGGGAAU
rnacentral:rRNA from 1 species